GACGAACGCUGGCGGCGUGCUUAACACAUGCAAGUCGAACGAAGAGCGAUGGAAGCUUGCUUCUAUCAAUCUUAGUGGCGAACGGGUGAGUAACGCGUAAUCAACCUGCCCUUCAGAGGGGGACAACAGUUGGAAACGACUGCUAAUACCGCAUACGAUCUAAUCUCGGCAUCGAGGAUAGAUGAAAGGUGGCCUCUACAUGUAAGCUAUCACUGAAGGAGGGGAUUGCGUCUGAUUAGCUAGUUGGAGGGGUAACGGCCCACCAAGGCGAUGAUCAGUAGCCGGUCUGAGAGGAUGAACGGCCACAUUGGGACUGAGACACGGCCCAGACUCCUACGGGAGGCAGCAGUGGGGAAUCUUCCGCAAUGGACGAAAGUCUGACGGAGCAACGCCGCGUGAGCGAUGACGGCCUUCGGGUUGUAAAGCUCUGUUAAUCGGGGACGAAAAGGCCCUUC
rnacentral:rRNA from 1 species